rnacentral:rRNA from 1 species
UACGUAGGGGGCAAGCGUUGUCCGGAUUUACUGGGCGUAAAGAGCGCGUAGGCGGCAGUUUAAGCGUAGCCUGAAAGCCCCCGGCUCAACCGGGGAGGGUGGCCGCGAACUGGACUUCUUGAGGGCGAUAGAGGAGAGCGGAAUUCCUGGUGUAGCGGUGAAAUGCGUAGAGAUCAGGAGGAACACCCGUGGCGAAGGCGGCUGUCUGGGUCGGGCCUGACGCUGAGGCGCGAAAGCGUGGGGAGCGAACGGG